CUCCGGGUGGGGACAGAUGGUGAAGGUAAGGGCAGUGUGCGACCUGAUCAUCCGCACGGCCAGCAGGAUCAGCAGGAGCAGAGACCCCAGCGAGGCCCACCUUAAAACAAAGACCAAGGUACAGGCCUUUGAGAAAUACAAAAUGAAGACGCUCAUUUACAAGACAUGCUGAUCAAAAUAUUAACUAUAAAAUUCUUUUACAACUCCAUCAAAUAUGAGAAAGGAAUGCAUCUAAGAGGAAAGGAAAAUGACUAGUUGUUUCACAGAAGCAAAUGGAAGGAAAUGAAAUUUUGUGUUACCCACUAAACUAUGGAUGAUUGAAAUAAUCUAGCAAUACAAUGCUAACUUGACCUGAACUUGAACUUGGGAGGAGACAUCAAUUCAAAAGGCAGCUGGAACCCCAGAAUGUGCCCAUCUGUAACCUGUGAGAUGAUGGAUCAAAAUUUUUCUGGCCAUGAACAUGGAGCUAGAUUUCACCAUUGU